CCUCUCUCUCUCUCUCUCUCUCGCAUAUUUCUCCUUCCUCCCUCAAACCAACAGUCGCCUCCCCUAUAUGCUGUUUGUCGACAUCGAUGCCCUCCGUUUUUCUCUCCAACACUGCCGCUGUUCUCAGUUCUGCGAUUGAAGUCGCGACAACCGCUGUCUAAUCGACUACCGAUGCUCCGUUUCUGGCAACCCAGGCUCUGUCCUCCACCUUCUGACCAUAUUCUUGUUCGAAUUGAACGAGACGUUGAUCGAGGCAUUGAUCGAGAAGUGAUUGAAAUGGGUAUUCAAAAAUAGCUAAGUUGUGUUGCAAGUUGAAGUUGGGCAGAGAUUGUUAUAGAUAGAAUCUUGUCAGAAGCUGGCAGAAAGGAAUGAUAUGGCACUACAUAGUGUUAUUAGAAAUCUGAGCUAGACACCGGAGUUAAGAUAAUGUUAAAGAUGGUUCGCCUAUUUAGGCUAAGCAUAAGAGUAAGGCUAGGCGAGGAUUGCAAGUGACUAAGUUUCAACCUGAUGGUCAGGAAGAGUAUCCAAGAUCGAGUCUUUGGGACUAGUGGUAAUUAGAGUUGUCUAAAUUUGAUUUAGUUGUAAAAACAUGUAAUAGAAUUUAUUAGUUUUAUUUUUCUGAUUUCAAUACUAUAGCCUGUUUGCGAUCC